rnacentral:lncRNA from 1 species
GUGAGUGGUGAAGCAUCCCCAACAAGGGUCUGUCCCUUCCAAGUGGCCCUGCCCAGCCACAGAAAAGCAGGUAUGUUCAAGGCUGUGUAUCUUAGUUUUCUUCUGCUAUAAUAGAGGAUCACAGACUGGGUAAUUUAUAGAGAAUGGGGGUUCAUCUGGCUUAUGGUUCUGGAGGCUGGACGUCCAAGAUGCAGGGGCUGCCUGGUGUCUUGCUGCU